GGGGAAUAUUGCACAAUGGGCGCAAGCCUGAUGCAGCGACGCCGCGUGAGGGAUGGAGGCCUUCGGGUUGUAAACCUCUUUUAUCGGGGAGCAAGCGAGAGUGAGUUUACCCGUUGAAUAAGCACCGGCUAACUACGUGCCAGCAGCCGCGGUAAUACGUAGGGUGCAAGCGUUAUCCGGAAUUAUUGGGCGUAAAGGGCUCGUAGGCGGUUCGUCGCGUCCGGUGUGAAAGUCCAUCGCUUAACGGUGGAUCCGCGCCGGGUACGGGCGGGCUUGAGUGCGGUAGGGGAGACUGGAAUUCCCGGUGUAACGGUGGAAUGUGUAGAUAUCGGGAAGAACACCAAUGGCGAAGGCAGGUCUCUGGGCCGUUACUGACGCUGAGGAGCGAAAGCGUGGGGAGCGAACAGGAUUAGAUACCCUGGUAGUCCACGCCGUAAACGGUGGAUGCUGGAUGUGGGGCCCGUUCCACGGGUUCCGUGUCGGAGCUAACGCGUUAAGCAUCCCGCCUGGGGAGUACGGCCGCAAGGCUAAAACUCAAAGAAAUUGACGGGGGCCCGCACAAGCGGCGGAGCAUGCGGAUUAAUUCGAUGCAACGCGAAGAACCUUACCUGGGCUUGACAUGUUCCCGACAGCCGUAGAGAUACGGUCUCCCUUCGGGGCGGGUUCACAGGUGGUGCAUGGUCGUCGUCAGCUCGUGUCGUGAGAUGUUGGGUUAAGUCCCGCAACGAGCGCAACCCUCGCCCUGUGUUGCCAGCACGUCGUGGUGGGAACUCACGGGGGACCGCCGGGGUCAACUCGGAGGAAGGUGGGGAUGACGUCAGAUCAUCAUGCCCCUUACGUCCAGGGCUUCACGCAUGCUACAAUGGCCGGUACAACGGGAUGCGACACCGCGAGGUGGAGCGGAUCCCUUAAAACCGGUCUCAGUUCGGAUUGGAGUCUGCAACCCGACUCCAUGAAGGCGGAGUCGCUAGUAAUCGCGGAUCAGCAACGCCGCGGUGAAUGCGUUCCCG
rnacentral:rRNA from 1 species